CUUCAGCUAAGAUGUUGUCUAUCGUUCCUCUAAUGAAUGGUGGCGGCUUGUUUGAAACAGGUGCUGGUGG
rnacentral:tRNA from 1 species